AUUGAACGCUGGCGGCAGGCUUAACACAUGCAAGUCGAGCGGGGGAAGGUAGCUUGCUACCGGACCUAGCGGCGGACGGGUGAGUAAUGCUUAGGAAUCUGCCUAUUAGUGGGGGACAACAUCUCGAAGGGAUGCUAAUACCGCAUACGUCCUACGGGAGAAAGCAGGGGAUCUUCGGACCUUGCGCUAAUAGAUGAGCCUAAGUCGGAUUAGCUAGUUGGUGGGGUAAAGGCCUACCAAGGCGACGAUCUGUAGCGGGUCUGAGAGGAUGAUCCGCCAAACUGGGACUGAGACACGGCCCAGACUCCUACGGGAGGCAGCAGUGGGGAAUAUUGGACAAUGGGGGGAACCCUGAUCUAGCCAUGCCGCGUGUGUGAAGAAGGCCUUAUGGUUGUAAAGCACUUUAAGCGAGGAGGAGGCUACUCUAGUUAAUACCUAGGGAUAGUGGACGUUACUCGCAGAAUAAGCACCGGCUAACUCUGUGCCAGCAGCCGCCGUAA
rnacentral:rRNA from 1 species